GAGGAUAUAGCUCAGUUGUAGAGUGCAUGCUUAGCGUCCAUGAGGUCCUGGGUUCAAUCUCCAGUAUCCCCA
rnacentral:tRNA from 1 species